GCUGGGAUAGCUCAGUUGGUAGCGCAUGAGACUCUUAAUCUCAGGGGUGGUGGAUUUGAUCCCCACAUUAGGUG